rnacentral:snRNA from 1 species
UUAUCUUUAUAUUAUUACU